rnacentral:rRNA from 1 species
AGAGUUUGAUCCUGGCUCAGGAUGAACGCUGGCGGCGUGCCUAACACAUGCAAGUUGAGCGAUUUACUUCGGUAAAGAGCGGCGGACGGGUGAGUAACGCGUGGGUAACCUACCCUGUACACACGGAUAACAUACCGAAAGGUAUGCUAAUACGGGAUAAUAUAUUUGAGAGGCAUCUCUUGAAUAUCAAAGGUGAGCCAGUACAGGAUGGACCCGCGUCUGAUUAGCUAGUUGGUAAGGUAACGGCUUACCAAGGCGACGAUCAGUAGCCGACCUGAGAGGGUGAUCGGCCACAUUGGAACUGAGACACGGUCCAAACUCCUACGGGAGGCAGCAGUGGGGAAUAUUGCACAAUGGGCGAAAGCCUGAUGCAGCAACGCCGCGUGAGUGAUGAAGGCCUUCGGGUCGUAAAACUCUGUCCUCAAGGAAGAUAAUGACGGUACUUGAGGAGGAAGCCCCGGCUAACUACGUGCCAGCAGCCGCGGUAAUACGUAGGGGGCUAGCGUUAUCCGGAUUUACUGGGCGUAAAGGGUGCGUAGGCGGUCUUUCAAGUCAGGAGUGAAAGGCUACGGCUCAACCGUAGUAAGCUCUUGAAACUGGGAGACUUGAGUGCAGGAGAGGAGAGUGGAAUUCCUAGUGUAGCGGUGAAAUGCGUAGAUAUUAGGAGGAACACCAGUUGCGAAGGCGGCUCUCUGGACUGUAACUGACGCUGAGGCACGAAAGCGUGGGGAGCAAACAGGAUUAGAUACCCUGGUAGUCCACGCUGUAAACGAUGAGUACUAGGUGUCGGGGGUUACCCCCNCCUUAAUCGGAGAGUUCCCUUCGGGGACAUUGGUGACAGGUGGUGCAUGGUUGUCGUCAGCUCGUGUCGUGAGAUGUUGGGUUAAGUCCCGCAACGAGCGCAACCUUGCCAAGGUUGAAGUCGCGAGUUCGAAUCUCGUUUCCCGCUCCAAAUUUUGUGUUUAUAUUGUAAUGUGGGUGCAUAGCUCAGCUGGAUAGAGCAACGCCCUUCUAAGGCGUGUGUCCGGGGUUCGAAUCCCUGUGCGCUCACCACAUAUAUAUUGGGGAUUAGCCAAGUCGGUAAGGCACAUGACUUUGACUCAUGUAUGCGUAGGUUCGAGUCCUGCAUCCCCAGCCAAAUGAUGUACUUACUAAGCUAUAUUUGAAUUAUUU